ensembl:lncRNA
GAAAGACCCCGAAAUUGUGCAAACACGCUGGUUUUGUUCGUUUUGUUUUUGUAAGUUCAGUUUAUUACUAGGUUGGGUUUGGUGCGGUUUUGCGUCGGGUCGGUCGCUGAGAGUGGUGCGGCGGUUUUGGGCGUUUGUUGUUCGCUGAGUCUGGACGCCAGUGAAAACGACGGGGAGAGAGGCCCUCCAGGUGAUUGUUGCGAGGAAGGGCGCUGUCCUACGCGGUUGCCUAGAGCUGCCAAGGUCCGUGGACGUUUCGGGAGAGGUUUGCCCUGCCAGCCAUCACACAUCCCGAAGUGCGAUCUCUGCUGUGGUAUUGUUGCUGCCCAAACAUCAGCUGCUCUUGAACAGGCCUCUGCCCAAAUCUCUGGCAACAUUCAAAGUCAAUUCGUCCUGUAGAACGGGAUCAUGCACUCCUGCGUGCUGUGGAGGAGUUGAAGGCCUUGGUGAGGCAGAACAACCUCCUCCUCCAGGCCCUUACUAGGCAAAAAACUACAGCAG